AUACGGAGGGUGCAAGCGUUACUCGGAAUCACUGGGCGUAAAGCGCGCGCAGGCGGCUAUUUAAGUUGGAUGUGAAAGCCUAUGGCUCAACCAUAGAACUGUAUCCAAAACUAUUUAGCUAGAGUGUGGGAGAGGAAGAUGGAAUUAGUUGUGUAGGGGUAAAAUCCGUAGAGAUAACUAGGAAUACCAAAAGCGAAGGCAAUCUUCUGGAACACUACUGACGCUGAGGCGCGAAAGCGUGGGGAGCAAACAGGAUUAGAAACCCUAGUAGUCC
rnacentral:rRNA from 1 species